UUGGUUGGAGCCACAAGAUCAAAUCCUGGCUCAUGGAAUAUGGUCAGAAGUGAUGAUGCCAAUUCUUCUGGGCCUGGCCCAUAAAAACUCCCAUCUAAUCUUUGCUUUUUCUUCAUCUGCCGGCCAAAUGAAGAUUUUAAGCAGAAUCACAGAAUGGGAAGAGCCUGGGCCCCUGAAUUACUAUAUGGAGCAGAACUCCUCCUCAAACCUACUUAUGACUGUGAUAAGAGCAAUGUAACAGGGUCUCACUUGGUCACCCAGGCUGGAGUGCUCUGGCACAAUCUUGGCUCACGGCAACCUCCACCUCCCGUGUUCAAGCACUUCUCCUACCUCAGCAUCCCGAGUAGCUGGGACUACAGGCAUACGUCACCAUGCCCAGCUAAUUUUUAUAUUUUUUGGUAGAGUUGGGGUUUCACCAUGUUGGCCAGGCUGAUCUCGAACUCCUGACCUCAUGUGGUCUGCCCACCUCGACCUUCCAAAGUGCUGGGAUUACAGUAAUGCGCCACUGCACCCAGCCCAAAAUUUUCAAUAGUUAGGAUAAAUUCUUUCUUUUCUAAUUUCCUUCUUUUGCUCCUUCCUAAAUUUACCAUUUUGGGAGGCUUGAUUGUCUUAACUAAUUCUUUGGAACAUUAUGAUUUUUGAACUGUCUGAGACUGUGUUCCUGAGCAACUGGUUAGGAAGAAAGUCUGCAAAAAUUUAACAUCAAUUUAAAUAUAUCUUAAAAUAUAUUAAAAAUAAUCCCUUGUUAAACAAUUUUGACACUUUGGGAUAUACUCCAAAUGAAGCUUUCUAUAUAACCAAUAAAUAACAGUUCGAUCUGUACGCCUGUUCAAACAGUAGUACAAAGUUAAAAACCAAUUACUUGGCCAGCUUGCCUUGUCCUAACAUUAUGAUAUAGCUAUUACUAUCAAGUACAAAGACACAUAAACC
rnacentral:lncRNA from 10 species